GACGAACGCUGGCGGCGUGCCUAAUACAUGCAAGUAGGACGCAGUUGCGAACGGGUGAGUAACGCGUCGGUAACUGCCUAUUUGAGGGGGAUAACUAUUGGAAACGAUAGCUAAUACCGCAUACUAGUAGAUGGACGUGCGUUGUAUUAACUAGUAGGUAGGGGAAUGGCCUACCUAGGCAACGAUACAUAGCCGACCUGACAGGGUAGUGUGCCCCACUGGGACGGAGACACGGCCCAGACUCCUACGGGAGGGAGCAGUAGGGAAACUUCGGCAAUGGGGGUAACCCUGACCGAGCAACGGCGCGGGAUUGAAGAAGGUUUUCGGAUCGUAAAGGUCUGUUGUUAAGGAAGCGGUACUUACCCAGAAAGGGACGGCUAACUACGUGCCAGCAGCCGCGGUAAUAC
rnacentral:rRNA from 1 species